UACUAUGCUUAUGAGAACUACUCAUUUAUCACAUUUGAGUGUAGUUAAGUGGAGUACUUCAAAGCCGCAUUUGACUUCAGUUUCACUUCUCCACUAUAAGUUAUCAGUACUCAACAGAGUGAACAAUUUGAGAGGUGUGCAACUCUUGAUCUCCUUAUUGAUCUCUGUUUUCUCUGAUAUAAAUUAUGAGUUUUCAUUUUCACUCAACACCCUGCAGGAAAGAGAAAACAGAUUCAGACUAAAGCACGUGCCUGACAAUGUGUCUGCUGCAUUGCAUGAGGCAGCCUUGCUGCAGCCAACCAUAGUGGGUGCCCUUGUAGGUCCAAUUAAGAGGCUUAAUUGAAGAAUUCCAAGUUAGCAGACUGUCCUGGCACUCAGAGGAUAUUGUGCCUGGUAAUGAUAGUGUUGAAUUGGACAGAAAGAAUAUUCACAAAGCUUCAAGAAAGGCCUCCUCUGCUAAAAAUGCUCUCUGAUUAGCCAUUCACUGCUUCCUGAACUAUGAAGACAUCUUCUAGGAAUACUCAGGAUCUUCUGCUAUGUGGCUUUAAUUUAUUUUAAGAUUAAUUCCUCAUUACCUUCUUACACAAAGCCACCAUUAGCAUAUCAAGCACAGCUGUACAAAUUUUUAAAAGGCCAAAAGAUGUAUCUGCCAAUUCUAGGAGGAUAUAAACCUGAAGGCACAAAUCUGGGCUGGAGCACAUGGUUUCCCUUGUGAGAAGAAAAAGUCUCCUUCCUCUGAAUGGACACACCUUGCACACCAGGGCACAAGGUUUGUCUAGAAGAGCACAGCUGAACAUCAUAAAGUGCAGAACCACACACCUGGCAUCCUUGUCCCUACACAAGUUUAGACGGGGUUUCACCGGUUAGCCAGGAUGGUCUCGAUCU
rnacentral:lncRNA from 1 species